GGGAUUUAAGACGAGUCCUGAGUGUAGCGAGGGAUUUAAGUUCACCCAAGACUAAGACAGCUUUAUCACCGAGGAAAAUACUCUACUUUUCAAUUUCAGACAAAAU